UGGGGGAUAUUGCACAAUGGAGGAAACUCUGAUGCAGCAACGCCGCGUGAGUGAAGAAGGUUUUCGGAUCGUAAAACUCUGUUGUUAGAGAAGAACAAGGAUGAGAGUAACUGUUCAUCCCUUGACGGUAUCUAACCAGAAAGCCACGGCUAACUACGUGCCAGCAGCCGCGGUAAUACGUAGGUGGCAAGCGUUGUCCGGAUUUAUUGGGCGUAAAGCGAGCGCAGGCGGUUUCUUAAGUCUGAUGUGAAAGCCCCCGGCUCAACCGGGGAGGGUCAUUGGAAACUGGGAGACUUGAGUGCAGAAGAGGAGAGUGGAAUUCCAUGUGUAGCGGUGAAAUGCGUAGAUAUAUGGAGGAACACCAGUGGCGAAGGCGGCUCUCUGGUCUGUAACUGACGCUGAGGCUCGAAAGCGUGGGGAGCAAACAGG
rnacentral:rRNA from 2 species